rnacentral:misc_RNA from 1 species
GUGAAUCAUCAAAUUUUUGAACGCAUAUUGCACUCUCUGGUAUUCCGGAGAGUAUGCCUGUUUGAGGGUAAUUAAAAAGAAUCUUUAACCAAUUUUUUUGGUCAAAGGAUAUGAGUUCUCCGCGUUUAUAGCGGUAGCUUGAAAUAAAUGGUCAAGUCUCAUUUAGUCGGAGCGCGUUAUUAUAUUAAUUCGGCAAAAUCUCAUU